rnacentral:rRNA from 1 species
UGCAGUCGGACGGGAUUGAGGAGCUUGCUUCUCAUGAGAGUGGCGCACGGGUGCGUAACACGUAUGUAACCUACCUUGUUCAGGGGGAUAGCCUCUCGAAAGAGAGAUUAACACCGCAUAAAAUCAAUUUAUGGCAUCAUAGAAUGAUCAAAUAUUUAUAGGAACAAGAUGGGCAUGCGGAACAUUAGCUAGUUGGUAAGGUAACGGCUUACCAAGGCUACGAUGUUUAGGGGAUCUGAGAGGAUGACCCCCCACACUGGUACUGAGACACGGACCAGACUCCUACGGGAGGCAGCAGUAAGGAAUAUUGGUCAAUGGACGCAAGUCUGAACCAGCCAUGCCGCGUGCAGGAAGACGGCCCUACGGGUUGUAAACUGCUUUUGUACCGGAAUAAACCUUUUCACGUGUGAGAAGCUGAAUGUACGGUAAGAAUAAGGAUCGGCUAACUCCGUGCCAGCAGCCGCGGUAAUACGGAGGAUCCAAGCGUUAUCCGGAUUUAUUGGGUUUAAAGGGUGCGUAGGUGGCCUAUUAAGUCAGGGGUGAAAGACGGUAGCUUAACUAUCGCAGUGCCUUUGAUACUGAUGGGCUUGAAUACACUUGAGGUAGGCGGAAUGUGACAAGUAGCGGUGAAAUGCAUAGAUAUGUCACAGAACACCAAUUGCGAAGGCAGCUUACUAAAGUGUUAUUGACACUGAGGCACGAAAGCGUGGGGAUCAAACAGGAUUAGAUACCCUGGUAGUCCACGCCCUAAACGAUGAAUACUCGAUGUUGGCGAUAUACGGUCAGCGUCUAAGCGAAAGCGUUAAGUAUUCCACCUGGGGAGUACGCCCGCAAGGGUGAAACUCAAAGGAAUUGACGGGGGCCCGCAC